rnacentral:rRNA from 1 species
GCAAGAUACCACGGGCGCACGGCGGAUGCCUUGGCACAGGGAGCCGAUGAAGGACGCGGCAAGCUGCGAUAAUCCCCGGCGAGGAGCACACAUCCUUCGACCCGGGGGUCUCCGAAUGGGCGAACCCAUGCACAGCAGUGUGCAUAUCCCCGGCCUGAACGCAUAGGGCCGGGGAGGACAACCCGGGGAACUGAAACAUCUAAGUACCCGGAGGAGAGGAAAUCAAUCUCGAGACUCCCCGAGUAGCGGCGAGCGAAAGGGGACCGAUGGCCAAACCGUCGAGCGGGCGUACCCGGCAGGGGUUCCGCCGGCGGGGUUGCAGGGCCGCGCAUCCGGGGGCUGCCGCCCCCGGGCGCAGGUCCGGCUGGGGAGCGGAACGGCAUGGGAGGGCCGGCCGCAGCGGGUGACAGCCCCGUACGCGAACCCAGACCGGACGGCGCGACGCGGUCCCUGAGUAGGGCCGGGCACGUGAAACCCGGUCCGAACCUGGGUGGACCACCAUCCAAGCCUGAGUACUACCCUGUGACCGAUAGCGCACCAGUACCGUGAGGGAAAGGUGAAAAGCACCCCGGGAGGGGAGUGAAACAGUACCUGAAACCGUGCGCCCACGAGCAGUCGGAGCACCCUCCGGGGUGUGACGGCGUGCCUUUUGUAGAAUGAGCCAGCGAGUCGCUGGCGCGGGGCGAGGUUAACCGAAAGGGAGCCGGAGCGAAAGCGAGCCUUAACAGGGCGACUUGAGUCCCGCGCCGCGGACGCGAAGCCGGGUGAGCUAUCCGUGGGCAGGCUGAAGCGGGGGUAAGACCCCGUGGAGGGCCGAACGCACGUCGGUUGAAAACGGCGGCGAUGACCUGCGGAUAGGGGUGAAAGGCCAAUCAAACCCGGAGAUAUCUCGUUCUCCCCGAAAUAGCUUUAGGGCUAGCGUCGCGCGUUCACCGCCGGAGGUAGAGCACCGGAUGGACGAGGGGGCUUCGCCGCCUACCGAAUCCAACCGAACUCCGAAUGCCGGCGGCCCAGAGCGCGGCAGUCAGAGCAUGUGGGCUAAGCUGUGUGCUCGAGAGGGAAACAGCCCGGACCGCCCGCUAAGGUCCCCAAGUUCCAGCCGAGUGGCAAAGGAUGUGCGUCCGCCCAGACAACCAGGAUGUUGGCUUAGAAGCAGCCAUGCAUUCAAAGAGUGCGUAACAGCUCACUGGUCGAGUGGACAUGCGCCGACAAUACACGGGGCUAAGCUGGACACCGAAGCGGCGGGAUUCUAAUUCAUCAGAAUCGGUAGGGGAGCUUCCCAUGGGCGGAGAAGCCGGAGGGCGACCGACGGUGGAGCGCAUGGGAGUGAGAAUGCUGGCAUGAGUAGCGAGAGACGAGAGAGUAACUCGUCCGCCGUGAACCCGAGGUUUCCUGGGCAAGGCUAAUCCUCCCAGGGUCAGUCGGGGGCUAAGGCGAGGCCGGGAGGCGUAGCCGACGCGCAGCAGGCAGACAUUCCUGCACCGCGCACGCGGCGCUACGACCGACGGGGCGACGGAUGGGGGUGGCUCGGCGGGGUUCUGGACGUCCCCGUGAUGGAGCGCGGCCCGCGGACCAGGGAAAUCCGGUCCGCAUCGAGGGCGAGGCUCCGGACGAAGCACUUAAGCGAAGCGAGUGAGCCCGAGGUCCCUAGAAAAACCCCUAGGCAGGCGCGUGCGCGCCCGUACCGCAAACCGACACAGGUGGGUGGGUAGAACAUACCGAGGCGAUCGGGUCAACCAUGGUCAAGGAACUCGGCACAAUGGCCCCGUAACUUCGGGAGAAGGGGUGCCCGCGCGUACGUGAACGGACUUGCUCCGGGAGCGGAGGCGGGCCGCAGUGGAGAGGCCCAAGCGACUGUUUACCAAAAACACAGGACUCUGCAGAAGCCGCAAGGCGACGUAUAGGGUCUGACGCCUGCCCGGUGCCGGAAGGUCACGCGGAGGAGUUAGCCGUCUCGGCGAAGCCCCGAAGCCAAGCCCCGGUAAACGGCGGCCGUAACUAUAACGGUCCUAAGGUAGCGAAAUUCCUUGUCGGGUAAGUUCCGACCUGC